rnacentral:rRNA from 1 species
UGGGGAAUAUUGCACAAUGGGCGCAAGCCUGAUGCAGCAACGCCGCGUGAACGAUGAAGGUCUUCGGAUCGUAAAGUUCUGUUGCAGGGGAAGAUAAUGACGGUACCCUGUGAGGAAGCCCCGGCUAACUACGUUCCAGCAGCCGCGGUAAUACGUAGGGGGCUAGCGUUAUCCGGAUUUACUGGGCGUAAAGGGUGCGUAGGUGGUCCUUCAAGUCGGUGGUUAAAGGCUACGGCUCAACCGUAGUAAGCCGCCGAAACUGGAGGACUUGAGUGCAGGAGAGGAAAGUGGAAUUCCCAGUGUAGCGGUGAAAUGCGUAGAUAUUGGGAGGAACACCAGUAGCGAAGGCGGCUUUCUGGACUGCAACUGACACUGUGGCACGAAAGCGUGGGUAGCAAACAGG